rnacentral:rRNA from 1 species
UACGUAGGGGGCAAGCGUUGUCCGGAAUCAUUGGUCGUAAAGCGCGUGUAGGCGGUUCGAUACGUCUGCUGUGAAAGUCCAGGGCUCAACCCUGGGAUGCCGGUGGAUACUGUCGGACUAGAGUACGGAAGAGGCGAGUGGAAUUCCCGGUGUAGCGGUGAAAUGCGCAGAUAUCAGGAAGAACACCCGUGGCGAAAGCGGCUCUCUGGAACGGUACUGACGCUGAGACGCGAAAGCGUGGGGAGCGAACAGG